rnacentral:rRNA from 1 species
AUUGAACGCUGGCGGCAUGCUUUACACAUGCAAGUCGAACGGUAACAGGCCGCAAGGUGCUGACGAGUGGCGAACGGGUGAGUAAUGCAUCGGAACGUGCCCAGUCGUGGGGGAUAACUACUCGAAAGAGUAGCUAAUACCGCAUACGAUCUAUGGAUGAAAGCGGGGGACCGUAAGGCCUCGCGCGAUUGGAGCGGCCGAUGUCAGAUUAGGUAGUUGGUGGGGUAAAGGCUCACCAAGCCAACGAUCUGUAGCUGGUCUGAGAGGACGACCAGCCACACUGGGACUGAGACACGGCCCAGACUCCUACGGGAGGCAGCAGUGGGGAAUUUUGGACAAUGGGCGCAAGCCUGAUCCAGCAAUGCCACGUGCAGGAAGAAGGCCUUCGGGUUGUAAACUGCCUUUGUACGGAACGAAACGGCUCUGGUUAAUACCCGGGGCUAAUGACGGUACCGUAAGAAUAAGCACCGGCUAACUACGUG